rnacentral:rRNA from 1 species
CCUACGGGGGGCAGCAGUGGGGGAUAUUGCACAAUGGGGGGAACCCUGAUGCAGCGACGCCGCGUGUGGGAAGACGGUCCUCUGGAUUGUAAACCACUGUUCCCAGGGACGAAAAUGACGGUACCUGGGGAGGAAGCUCCGUCUAACUACGUGCCAGCAGCCGCGGUAAUACGUAGGGAGCGAGCGUUGUCCGGAAUUACUGGGUGUAAAGGGAGCGUAGGCGGGGAUGCAAGUUGGGUGUCAAAACUACCGGCUCAACUGGUAGUCGCAUUCAAAACUGCAGCUCUUGAGUGAAGUAGAGGCAGGCGGAAUUCCUGGUGUAGCGGUGAAAUGCGUAGAUAUUAGGAGGAACACCAGUGGCGAAGGCGGCCUGCUGGGCUUUUACUGACGCUGAGGCUCGAAAGUGUGGGGAGCAAACAGGAUUAGAUACCCUUGUAGUC